rnacentral:lncRNA from 1 species
UUUUUUUUUUAUGUUGAUAUUCUUUUGUUGUGUUUUCAUUAGAUGUAUAUAGAAAAGAAAAUAAAGAUGAUAUCAAAAGAUAGCAAAUCUUUAUUUAUUUAAUCUUUUGAAUUUUUUGACCCAUAUGUAAAUAUGGUAAUGCCACCAAGAAGACUACAAUAUAAUCAAUACUUUAGUAAAUUCUUAGAUAUUUCAAAAUAAAUAAUAAAAAUAAGUUGAGACAUCAUUAACUUCAUAAUUAUAAGAAAUUAUUAUCCAUGUCUUACUACAGAUUUUAUGAAGAUUUUAUGAAGAUGUUUGUGUGGUAUUAAUAAUAAAAGUAUUGAUGGUCUAAUUUGAAAGUAUUGAUGGUCCAAAAUUCAAGAAAAUGAAACCUAUUUACAAGUUUUAAAUUUUCCAAUAAAGUUUUGUUAUUACUUUUAACAUUACAUGUACAUGACAUGACAAACUUUGAGCAUGGAACAUAAAUAUGAAUAACAUCAUAUGUUAAGUAAAUCAAACUCAUUAAAAAAAAUUAGGUCUUUCCAUCAACUGGUUAAAGUUUACAAGACUUUGGUAUUAAGUCCAAGCCUUCUUGAGUUUAAAAAUACAUAAAAACCAACAUCCUGUAACAAAAUUUCAUAAGAUAGAGCAAAGAGUUGCAUGCACAAAGCCAAUGUGGCCAUCACAGAAAACAAAAGUCAGCAAUUGCAGGCCUAGAGACAACCCAUGUUUUCAUUAGUAAUAAGAUGAAUGUAUUUAGACAACCCAUGAUCAGAGCCAUAUUUCAUAUAGAUAUUCUUACAUCAGAGCACUGCUCUGGUACAAUCUUAGUCAAAUUCAACCGCAGACAAAAAGACCUAAUUCUGAGCUCAAAAUAUUACGAAGGAAUUACUAUGGCAGGUCACACAUGUGGAAAGACUUGCAAGUAUAAGAUAAAGAGCAAUCACAACUUGAAACUCUGUAGGAAAAAAAAAAUGCAAUCUUUACUUUUUAGGGUUUCAUUAGACGUAAUCAACCCUUCUGUACACAAUCAGCAAAGAAAACGGGCAGUGCCAUAAUCAACAAGUGCAACCCACUGCGACUAUUGACCGCACAUUUGGCUUUUGCAAUAGAAAUCUUCUGGCUUUCUCCAGAGGCCGCAAAAGCAGCAAACAAGGUUCAAAAUUGAUCUCCACGAGGUAAAUUCCAUGCUACAACCUCGGGUUGCAAAAUUCACACAGAAAAUGACGAAGAACCUGGAGAACUUGUGCGAGGGAUUCGGUACCGAAAAGCCCCAGAACAGCCUCUGAGACUGUGCCACAAGCAAUGCCGGAAGCCAUGGGGUGCUGAGCGAGGUUGCGUGGGUGGCAACGGCUUCUUGGACUUGUUCUUCUCGAUUUGUCCGGACUUGCUCCUCCAGAUUUGUUCGCACUCCGCUGCGCACUCCAGCAACUCUUUCGCAUGAGCAUCCCAGAUCGCUUGAUCGUGGUCAACAAUUGGAACCUGGCCCUUCUUCGGACUGUCCAUGGUACCCCUUGCACCGAAUCAGCUGUCUUUACUGCUGCAAAACCAAGUCUAGAAUUCUAAAUUGACGAGUUCGGGAGAAUGAAAACAAUUCCGGAAGGCCUGAAAAACACAAUUAUCUGCAGCGGACAUCUAAUCUCAGUGAAAUUCCUGGAUGCAAGUGUACACAACGACAAAAGCAGGAAAAAUGGUCUGAGAGACGAUGAUGCGAUGCCCUCGAGAUGGACUAACCGGCUCUGCCAGCUUCUCGCUGGAAAUUAAUAAACCCAGUUCCAUAGGGAGAGCAUAUGGAGGAACUGGGUUCUACCGAAACUAGGUUUGCCGACACAGUUGGCCAAGACCGAGUACAGACUGGCCCGAUGCGCGUACGACGUGGUUCGAUGGCUUCCAAGUCCACAGUGCUUGUUUUACCCCGUCGCUGGUCUGCAAGCACAGAUUGGGACGCAAUCAGACAUGGUUUGAACGCUGUUGUCUGAAGGAAUGCACGACAUGAGACUAAUCGCCUUGACUGUGGUAGGAAUUCUCGCAGUGCAGACCUGGAUAUUUGUGGUCACGGACCCCACAAAACGACUGCAAAAAAACCUCAUCUAUGACCCACCACUGGGCUUGAUCCUCAUCGCUUCACAUCGAUUCGUGACUCAGCGUCAAUGUCGUCUCUCCCGUCGAGACGUUCAUGUAGGUAUACA